GAUCAUGGCUCAGAUUGAACGCUGGCGGCAUGCCUUACACAUGCAAGUCGAACGGCAGCACGGGGGCAACCCUGGUGGCGAGUGGCGAACGGGUGAGUAACAUAUCGGAACAUACCCUAGAGUGGGGGAUAACGUAGCGAAAGUUACGCUAAUACCGCAUACGAUCUAAGGAUGAAAGUGGGGGAUCUUCGGACCUCAUGCUCAUGGAGUGGCCGAUAUCUGAUUAGCUAGUUGGUGAGGUAAAGGCUCACCAAGGCGACGAUCAGUAGCUGGUUUGAGAGAACGACCAGCCACACUGAAACUGAGACACGGUCCAGACUCCUACGGGAGGCAGCAGUGGGGAAUUUUGGACAAUGGGGGCAACCCUGAUCCAGCAAUGCCGCGUGAGUGAAGAAGGCCUUCGGGUUGUAAAGCUCUUUUGUCAGGGAAGAAACGGUGAGUUCUAAUACAGCUUGCUAAUGACGGUACCUGAAGAAUAAGCACCGGCUAACUACGUG
rnacentral:rRNA from 1 species